rnacentral:lncRNA from 1 species
GUGUCUAGUAUUUUGGUCAGGGGGUUGGACGCAGACAUGUUUCCUAUAGAGAGUCAAAAAUUUCUAAUUAGAUUUUGUAAUCAGACUUAACCAAUUUGUUUAGGAGUUUUAUUUCUAAACAAAUUAGGCUCCCACUAUUUUCUCAGAUCCCUACACUCCCUAGGUAGAGAUGUGAAAAUCUCUGUGAUUAGUGAUUUCUAGUGGGUGGUGCGGNNNN